rnacentral:lncRNA from 1 species
AUAAAAAAGGACUGCUUAGGAGGGACAUCCUUCCACUGCCUCAUCCAUGGAUCAGGGAGGCAAGCCAAGGAGCAAUCCAGUUCUGCCCAGCAAGCUACACCCCACUAACUCUGGGCCUUGUGUAUGCUAUUUAACAUUUCAUUCAAACAGGAGCUCCUGGGAAGAAGCUUGGCUCAGUCUCCUCGGCAGAUCUCUUCUCACAGUCUCUCUCAGGGGAGGAUCUUCCUGGGCCUGCCGUCCUCUUCUCUACUGGAACUUCCGGACACCAGUUGCUGCCAGUCUGAGCCAGUGGAAGGGAAGGGUUCUAAAUUUCAGAAGAUGAAACAGUUUAGCAGAGG